ACGGGGAGCAGCAGGCGCGAAACCUUUACACUGCACGCCAGUGCGAUAAGGGGACCCCGAGUGCGAGGGCAUACAGUCCUCGCUUUUCGUGACCGUAAGGAGGUCACAGAAUAAGUGCUGGGCAAGACCGGUGCCAGCCGCCGCGGUAAUACCGGCAGCACGAGUGAUAGCCACUAUUAUUGGGCCUAAAGCGUCCGUAGCCGGCUACACAGGUCCGUCGAAAUCCACCCGCUCAACGGGUGGGCGUCCGGCGGAAACCAGGUAGCUUGGGGCCGGAAGACCAGAGGGGUACGUCCGGGGUAGGAGUGAAAUCCCGUAAUCCUGGACGGACCACCGGUUGCGAAAGCGCCUCUGGAAGACGGACCCGACGGUGAGGGACGAAAGCUUGGGUCUCGAACCGGAUUAGAUACCCGGGUAUUCCAAGCUGUAAACGAUGCUCGCUAGGUGCGGCGCAGNNACGAGCUUGCGNUGUGCCGUAGGGAAGCCGAGAAGCGA
rnacentral:rRNA from 1 species